CGUGCGAUCUCACGCGAAACGGUACAUAAAAUAUCGCGACUUUUGCGAAAUUACCGGUUUGCCAACACCGACCUCUCCUCGAUCAACGCGCAAUCUCCGCAGAUCCGUCCGUCAGAUUCGCGAACGGUUCGUACCAGUGCGAUCAGCACGACGGAGACAACAAAGCUGUGAUUUCGUUUCAUCUCGAUCGACCACGGAUUCACGACAAAAUCCAACCUUCUUCCAAUAGAAGGAAACACACACAUAAAUACAUAUAAAACAUGUAUUUUUGGAUUUUCUCGAAAUUCGUGCAUCAAACUCAAAAUCCGUCAGCGCCAUUGGUUCCAGAACAGCUGAACCGGUCGAAACGAGCUAUUGGACCGCUAGGAACGGAGUCCGAUACGAGCCUGA
rnacentral:lncRNA from 1 species